AAUCUACCUUUUGCUGAGGGAUAGCCCAGAGAAAUUUGGAUUAAUACCUCAUGGUAUUAUUGAUAGGCAUCUAUUAAUAAUUAAAGGUUACGGCAAAAGAUGAGUAUGCGUCCCAUUAGCUAGUUGGCGAGGUAACGGCUCACCAAGGCAACGAUGGGUAGGGGUCCUGAGAGGGAGAUCCCCCACACUGGUACUGAGACACGGACCAGACUCCUACGGGAGGCAGCAGUAGGGAAUAUUGGACAAUGGGCGCAAGCCUGAUCCAGCCAUGCCGCGUGUGUGAAGAAGGCUCUAGGGUUGUAAAGCACUUUCAGUAGGGAGGAAGGCCAGAGGCUUAAUAAGUCUUUGGAUUGACGUUACCUACAGAAGCAGCACCGGCUAACUCCGUGCCAGCAGCCGCGGUAAUACGGAGGGGGCUAGCGUUGUUCGGAAUCACUGGGCGUAAAGCGCGCGUAGGCGGACUGAUCAGUUGGGGGUGAAAGCCCGGAGCUUAACUCCGGAACUGCCUUCAAUACUGUCAGUCUUGAGGUCGAGAGAGGUAAAUGGAAUUCCGAGUGUAGAGGUGAAAUUCGUAGAUAUUCGGAGGAACACCAGUGGCGAAGGCGGCUCACUGGC
rnacentral:rRNA from 1 species